AACAAACGCUGGCGGCAGGCUUAACACAUGCAAGUCGAGCGGAGAUGAGGUGCUUGCACCUUAUCUUAGCGGCGGACGGGUGAGUAAUGCUUAGGAAUCUGCCUAUUAGUGGGGGACAACAUUCCGAAAGGAAUGCUAAUACCGCAUACGCCCUACGGGGGAAAGCAGGGGAUCUUCGGACCUUGCGCUAAUAGAUGAGCCUAAGUCGGAUUAGCUAGUUGGUGGGGUAAAGGCCUACCAAGGCGACGAUCUGUAGCGGGUCUGAGAGGAUGAUCCGGCACACUGGGACUGAGACACGGCCCAGACUCCUACGGGAGGCAGCAGUGGGGAAUAUUGGACAAUGGGCGGAAGCCUGAUCCAGCCAUGCCGCGUGUGUGAAGAAGGCCUUUUGGUUGUAAAGCACUUUAAGCGAGGAGGAGGCUACCUGGAUUAAUACUCUAGGAUAGUGGACGUUACUCGCAGAAUAAGCACCGGCUAACUCUGUGCCAGCAGCCGCCGUAAGAC
rnacentral:rRNA from 1 species